rnacentral:rRNA from 1 species
CACGCAGUAAACGAUGAAUGUUAGUCGUUGGGUCUCUAGUAGAUUCAGUGAUGCAGUUAACACAUUAAACAUUCCGCCUGGGGAGUACGGUCGCAAGAUUAAAACUCAAAGGAAUAGACGGGGACCCGCACAAGUGGUGGAGCAUGUGGUUUAAUUCGAAGAUACGCGAAGAACCUUACCUAGCCUUGACAUAUUAGAAAACACACCAGAGAUGGAGUGGUGCCUUCGGGAAUUCUAUUACAGGUGCUGCACGGCUGUCGUCAGCUCGUGUCGUGAGAUGUUGGGUUAAGUCCCGCAACGAGCGCAACCCUCGUCACUAGUUACUAACGGUUCGGCCGAGGACUCUAGUGAGACUGCCUUCGUAAGGAGGAGGAAGGUGAGGACGACGUCAAGUCAUCAUGGCCCUUACGGCUAGGGCAACACACGUGCUACAAUGGUUAGGACAAUGAGAAGCAAUAUCGUGAGGUGGAGCAAAUCUAUAAACCUAAUCUCAGUUCGGAUUGUAGUCUGCAACUCGACUACAUGAAGCUGGAAUCACUAGUAAUCGUAGAUCAGCUAUGCUACGGUGAAUACGUUCCCGGGUCUUGUACUCACCGCCCGUCACACCAUGGGAGUUGAUUUCACCCGAAGCGGGGAAGCUAAAUUGGCUACCCUCCACGGUGGAAUUAGCGACUGGGGUGAAGUCGUAACAAGGUAACCGUA